rfam:Ictidomys tridecemlineatus contig036484, whole genome shotgun sequence.
GAGGAUGUAGCUCAGUUGGUAGAUUGCUUGCCUCACAUGCACAAGGCCUUGGGUUCAAUCCCCAGCACUGUCA